CGUCAAAGGUUAACUAUUUUUACCCCCAAAUUUCUUAAACAAACUAAAACCCUACCUUAGUACUGAAUAAUUCUAUAUUUUUAUGGAAAACAUAAUGUUAAAACUAGUAACAAGAAAUUAACCUUCUCUAAAAUGUGAGUGUAAGUCAGAAUGGACACUACACUGACAACUAACAACUUUAGACCCACAGUAACAACCUCACCCCAAGAAAACCCUACUAAUACAUUUGUUAAUCUAACACAAGAACAUUUAAAGAAAGACUAAAAGAAAAAGAAGGAAUUCGGCAAAAACUGAUUUCGCCUGUUUACCAAAAACAUCGCCUCUUGACAAGAUAUAUAAGAGGUCCCGCCUGCCCAGUGACUUGUUUAACGGCCACGGUAUCCUAACCGAGCGAAGGUAGCGUAAUCACCUGUUUUUUAAUUGAAGACCUGUAUGAAAGGCAUCACGAGAAUCACACUGUCUCCUUUAUCUAGUCAGUGAAACUAAUCUUCCCGUGAAAAAGCGGGAAUUUCUAUACAAGACGAGAAGACCCUUUGGAGCUUAAGACACUAUUAAUAUAUUGCUCGCCCACUUUAACUUUACCUUAUGCAAUACUACUUAUGAGUCUUGGGUUGGGGCAACCACGGAGUAAAAACCAACCUCCACGCUGAAUGGAACUUUCCUAAACAAAAAGCCACAGCUUUAUGUAUCAAAAAACUGACACCAUUAGACCCAACAUUUUGAUUAACGAACCAAGUUACCCUAGGGAUAACAGCGCAAUCCACUUCAAGAGUUCCUAUCGACAAGUGGGCUUACGACCUCG
rnacentral:rRNA from 1 species